rnacentral:rRNA from 1 species
GUGAGGAAUAUUGCGCAAUGGAGGCAACUCUGACGCAGCCAUGCCGCGUGCAGGAAGAAGGCGCUACGCGUUGUAAACUGCUUUUAACCGGGAAGAAACCCCAGGACGUGUCCUGGGUUGACGGUACCGGAGGAAUAAGCACCGGCUAACUUCGUGCCAGCAGCCGCGGUAAUACGAAGGGUGCAAGCGUUAUCCGGAUUCAUUGGGUUUAAAGGGUGCGUAGGCGGAGCGUUAAGUCAGUGGUGAAAUCCUGCAGCUUAACUGUAGACUUGCCAUUGAUACUGGCGCUCUUGAGUGCGCUUGAAGUGGGCGGAAUGUGCCGUGUAGCGGUGAAAUGCUUAGAUAUGAUACAGAACACCGAUAGCGAAGGCAGCUUGCUGAACCAUUAUUGACGCUGAGGCACGAAAGCGUGGGGAGCGAACAGGAUUAGAAACCCCAGUAGUCC